rnacentral:rRNA from 1 species
GGUUCCGAUCAUACCAGCACUAAUGCACCGGAUCUCAUCAGAACUCUGCAGUUAAGCGUGUUUGGGCGAGAGUAGUACUAGCAUGGGUAAGUCCUCGUGUUGCACCCC